rnacentral:sRNA from 1 species
GCUGGGUGCGGUGGCACACACCUAUAAUCCCAGUGUCUCAGGAGGCUGAUGCAGGAGUAUUGCAAGUUCAAAGCCAGCCUCAGCAACAGUUAGGUGCUGAGAAACUUAGUGAGACCCUGUCUCUA